AUUGAACGCUGGCGGCAGGCCUAACACAUGCAAGUCGAACGAGCGGCGGACGGGUGAGUAAUGUCUGGGAAACUGCCUGAUGGAGGGGGAUAACUACUGGAAACGGUAGCUAAUACCGCAUACCAUCGGAUGUGCCCAGCUGGGAUUAGCUAGGAGGUGGGGUAACGGCUCACCUAGGCGACGAUCCCUAGCUGGUCUGAGAGGAUGACAAGCCACACUGGAACUGAGCCACGGUCCAGACUCCGACGGGAGGCAGCAGUGGGGAAUAUUGCACAAUGGGCGCAAGCCUGAUGCAGCCAUGCCGCGUGUGUGAAGAAGGCCUUCGGGUUGUAAAGUACUUUCAGCGAGGAGGCGUUACCCGCAGAAGAAGCACCGGCUAACUCCGUGCCAGCAGCCGCGGUAAUUC
rnacentral:rRNA from 1 species